rnacentral:lncRNA from 1 species
GAACCUGGAGCUCCAGUUAAUUGAGGCAAAAAGGUUUGCAACCCCUGACCCAUCGCCCACCACAGCUCGCCGUCACUGCCUCUUUCCCAUGGCUUGUCUCGGCUUGGAGUCUGCUGGGCUGUAUCCAGUGCUGCAGAAAGAGGCCGCACCAUCAUCCUGUCCUUCAGAGAGAAAGGACCAAAGCCAGAAGGAACCAAGCGGAUACAUUAGAAGGCCCAAUCCCCACGUGUCUUGAAGCUUGUCUGACAGCAUGCACUGAGCAGAGCUGGGAACCUGGAAGGCAAGCCUGGGGCACAAGCAGACUGUUGUCUGCCCCGCAGCUGCCCUACCAAAUCAGAGAGGCUAAGUGUGUGUUUCCCACUCCACGCCCCAUUUCUUUCCUUACUAGAUGAUGAAUCUUACUCUGUUGGUGACCUCCACCUCUAUUCAGCUGAAACCUCAGACGUGCAUGAAGUCAGUGCUUGACUUCACGUAGUUGGGCACUCUCUACACACCCUGGGUGAGAAUGCAGACCAGGCUGGAGACAGGGCACAUGACCACCCUGAGACAGGCUGGUUGAAGACAGAUGGGUAUCCCAGGCAGGGAGGGCCUACUUGAGCAAGUGCCCAUGGGCUUGUGGGACAGUGGGGGUGCUCAAAGUCUCUAUGCAAGCCUGGCCUCAGGGUGAAUAUAUGCUCCCCAGAUCAACU